GACGAACCGUGCGAGCGUUGUUCGGAAUCACUGGGCUUAAAGGGCGCGUAGGCGGGCUGUCAAGUCUGGGGUGAAAUGCCGCGGCUCAACCGUGGAACUGCCUUAGAUACUGACGGCCUCGAGGAAGGUAGGGGCAUGCGGAACUGUAGGUGGAGCGGUGAAAUGCGUUGAUAUCUACAGGAACUCCGGUGGCGAAAGCGGCGUGCUGGACCUUUUCUGACGCUGAGGCGCGAAAGCUAGGGGAGCAAACGGG
rnacentral:rRNA from 1 species